rnacentral:lncRNA from 10 species
GCUGCUGCAAUGUAAGAAGUGCCUUUCACCUCCUGCCAUGAUUCUGAGGCCUCCCCAGCCAUGUGGAACUGAACUCCUGAGAACUGAGAAAUGACUGUUUAAUGAACAAAGAGAGAAGUGACAAUGAGACUGCCCUGUCCAGAGACUCCCAAAUAAAGAAGGAGAUGGUAGUCUGAAAGGGACAGAAUGAGAGAGGGAGCUGGAGAAAGAAAUGAAUAAACACGAAUGCAUCUGGAGAAUGAGGCAUCUUGGAAUCUGGAAAGUGAGGCAUCCUGGAAGAGAGAUGAAGUUGCCCUGGGAAUCAAAUGCACAUACUGUGAUACUGCUUUGAAAAUUACAAAGAAGUAAAUAAGAAGUUACAAAUGGGAGACCAAGAUCCAAUCUGCCCCACCGGUGUUUUAAAUUUGGCUUGAAAGAGUUGUCCUUCAAAAAAAAAAAAAAAGUCUUGAUAAUGAUGAGCAAUGAGAAUGCCAUUAGACAAGAUGCUACCUGAUUUGUGCUCCAGCUAAUGUCACUCACGUCAGGAGUGUUGCCAAAUGCAAUGAGGUGCGACUGACACCAGGGAAGAUGAUGAGCAAAGAGAAUGGCAGCUGGCUGUGUUUCCUUCUUAUAGCAUUUUAAUGAAUCAAGGAGCAUCCUGAUAGAGUACAUCUGGACAUGCUAGAAGCCAGACUCUAAGAUCCGAGAACCCUAAGGCGGCUCCAUCUUCAUGACAGGGAGGAUGGGUCCUGAAUAGAGGGAUGAGGCCUGAGAAAUAUAAAAGGCAGUUGCAGUGCUAUAGAAAGAACUAUACAUUAGUGGUUAGAAAACCUGAGUUCUCUCUCACUCUGUGUUACUCAUUAGUUUUUUGACUUAGGCAAAAUGUUUGUCUUACUCGAGACUCUUUUAACAAUAAAAACACACUAGAGUUACCAACAGGGUCCCAAAGGCAGUGGAUAGGGGAUCUAGAAAGCUACUACAAGGGGCCCAUUCCUCUUUCAUUAUUGCUUCCCUUUCUUCUCUCUCUCUGACAAUCAGCUUUUUUUCCUUUACCUCCCAGUCUGCCUGGUGGAAGACAAGAUAAUCCAAGUUUUCAUGGUAUAGGUCCAGCCACAAGGAAAGACUGAUUCCUGAUUCUCAUUUCCAUGUUUAAUUCCUAGCUGAAGGUAUGAUAGGCCUAGCUAAUU